rnacentral:rRNA from 1 species
UACGGAGGGUGCAAGCGUUGUCCGGAUUUAUUGGGUUUAAAGGGUGCGUAGGCGGCUUUUUAAGUCAGUGGUGAAAGCCCAUAGCUCAACUAUGGAACUGCCAUUGAUACUGAAAGGCUUGAGUACAGACGAGGUUGGCGGAAUGGAUGGUGUAGCGGUGAAAUGCAUAGAUACCAUCCAGAACUCCGAUUGCGUAGGCAGCUAACUAGGCUGUAACUGACGCUGAGGCACGAAAGCGUGGGGAGCAAACAGG